UACAGGGGGUGCAAACGUUGCUCGGAAUCAUUGGGCGUAAAGCGCACGUAGGCGGUCUGUUAUGUCGGAUGUGAAAGCCCUUGGCUCAACUAAGGAAGUGCAUCCGAAACUGGCAGGCUGGAGUACUAAAGAGGGUCGCGGAAUUCCCGGUGUAGAGGUGAAAUUCGUAGAUAUCGGGAGGAACACCGGUGGCGAAGGCGGCGACCUGGGUAGAUACUGACGCUGAGGUGCGAAAGCGUGGGGAGCGAACAGG
rnacentral:rRNA from 1 species